rnacentral:rRNA from 1 species
GAUGAACGCUGGCGGCGUGCCUAAUACAUGCAAGUCGAGCGAAGAGACGAGGAGCUUGCUCCUCUGACGUUAGCGGCGGACGGGUGAGUAACACGUGGAUAACCUACCUAUAAGACUGGGAUAACUUCGGGAAACCGGAGCUAAUACCGGAUAAUAUAUUGAACCGCAUGGUUCAAUAGUGAAAGACGGUUUUGCUGUCACUUAUAGAUGGAUCCGCGCCGCAUUAGCUAGUUGGUAAGGUAACGGCUUACCAAGGCGACGAUGCGUAGCCGACCUGAGAGGGUGAUCGGCCACACUGGAACUGAGACACGGUCCAGACUCCUACGGGAGGCAGCAGUAGGGAAUCUUCCGCAAUGGGCGAAAGCUUGACGGAGCAACGCCGCGUGAGUGAUGAAGGUCUUCGGAUCGUAAAACUCUGUUAUUAGGGAAGAACAAAUGUGUAAGUAACUAUGCACGUCUUGACGGUACCUAAUCAGAAAGCCACGGCUAACUACGUG